CUGUGGAUUUCCCAUUAAUAUGAUUUGGAUGCCCCUAAAGGGGUGACAGGUUUGAAAAAAAAAACCACUUCAGAUACUUGGUUGACAGACUUAAUGUCUGCUUACUUCAAGUAGCCUUUUGAAAGGCUGAUGGAAAAUUUCUCUGAUAUGAUCUACAUAUUUUCAAACGGCUAUGACCAUGACCCCUUGUGGCUUAUUGCAUGAUUUUAUGAACUUGAAAAUUUGGAAGUAUGUGGCAAUAGAGCUACGCUGCCACUGAAUACAAAAAUGAAGAACCCCUUCCGUUCAAUUUUCUGGACUCAAUAUCAUUCAUUCUAUCUUUAAAGUGGUAUCUUGAAGAGAGCGUAGCAUGAGUGACUUGGGAGCUUGGCUUUCUUUUCCAUUGCUGGUGGAUGGGCCACCGUCAAAGGAAUAAGACUUUGAAUAAUAAGUGAACUGAAAUGCAGGUUUUUAUUCAAAAUACUUAGGGGUAAUGUUAUUGUCAUCAGUAUGGAGAUGAAAAGAGAAGAGAGGUGCAUAGCCAACCAUUCUUCCUAGCUGCAGAAACCUCAGAUGGUCCAUCCAGACUUGACAUUACUGGAUCCACUGGGUGGAUAGCUAACAUAUGAACUGCCUCUACAUGUCUGAGGUGCAAAACCAUCCUUGAGCUGAGACAUUAUCCUGUCAGUGUUUGAGAAGAGAGUAAUCAAGCAUGACUUCACUGACACCUAGAACAGGAAGAUCUCCAGCCUUGUUCCAAACAAGGGAAAACUGACAGCUGCUUUACUGUCUUGCAAUCUCCAUCAAUUUCCCCGAACAGCAGCACCAGCAGUACAAGAAGGUGCUUUCUUUUAUUUUUGGCUUUCACAAGUUGCAAGAAGCAGCCAAUUGUACUUACACAGACAUUUGGGGUCAACACCUAAAGUGCAGUGGCUAAUAUAAUAACUUUUGACCAUUGGCCACAGGUAGGCACAGGUAAAUGAACUGGUAUAGAAUCAAAUUUAGAUCCAGAUUGCCAGAUUUAUGUGGUAGCAUUCUCCUGUCAAGGGUCUUAGAAGCUUGACUUAAGUAUUGGUGGUGAUGCUUCUGAUAAUCAACAUAAGGUUUUGCCAGGCUCCUUUCAAAUAUUAGCACAGAAAAUAAUCUUCCAAAAACUUUUAGCAAAUUAAGGUGAAGGAACGACUGAUGUGUGGAGCUUGGUUUUUAAUUAAAUCCCCUUCCAAUUUUGGAAUAUCCAUAUCAUAUAGACCUUUGAUGAAAGCCAUCCUAAAGAUCAUCUGCUUAUGAUGCAAGCAUGUUUCUCCAAGAACUAUAACUAUUCACUAGCCAAGCCUUUCUUCACUGUGGGAAAGUGAUUGGCUCAGUGUAUGUUUAAUCGCAUGAAGAAUUUUGAUUUCCUUAGCUAGUCAGGGAUUUUGCUGCAAUCUCCGUUUCUAAUUUUCUCUUGGACUCCAAGCAAAUGGGUUAAAUUCAGAAAAUAAUCAAGUGCUCCAAGAGAAUGAUAGACAGCUGUGAUACUGGACACUUUAAUCUCUCUAGAUGCCACAAACUAAUGGGAAUUUUUGACUGAGAUGAUGGGUGGAAACUUAAUGCCUUGACCUCUGAAGGAACAGUGGGACAAUUUUUGGGUCGCAUACCUGACUUCCCGAUUAGUGGGCCUUCCGGUUGCUCUUUACCUGUCAAGGGCCUUAGACAGGCAAACCAAUUGAAAUCACGCCUCUGGGCUCCCUGACCAAUUAGAGAGGGUGGGCAGGAGGAUGCAACCAUUCUGCCAGAGGAAAGAUUUCUAUUUAAAGGAACAACAACAUGUUUCAGCAAAGCCCAGCAGCACUUGGAUUUUUCAGGCAGCAACACUCACAGGAAUGAAGAAGAGAUCUGGGAAGGCUGCCCCAUGGGUGUCUCAUUCCUACCUGGAGGUUCUGUUGCAGAACAUAAGGGGGUUGCAGUGAGGUGAGAAUGGAAGGAUGAGAACAGUCUCUGCAAUCAAGCAGGCAUGGAUGGAAGUGACCAAGGAAGUUGACAGCAGUUAGUGUGUCCCUCCAACCUGGAGACAGUGCAUAAAAAGGAAACAGGACCUCAGGAUGGCAUAACAGGUGGAUGACAUAACACCUUCAGGUGCCAAGACUCACACUCUGACUUGCCCAGGAUUCUCCACAGCCAGCCAUUUCAGAGCAACACAUCUUGCAGCCCCGCUCAUGCCUCUCUCUCCAGGCCGCUCCUCACAUCCCCAACUGAACAACCGACGCUCACACUCACUCACUCUCACCUUCCUGCCAUCUCACACCCAUGCCUCCAUAAUCCUCCUCUAUAAAUGAUAUCCUUCCCUCCUCUCCGCACAAGCCAUUACAAUUGCUCACAGCUUCCUGCUUUCUCUCCCCUGCAGGAGAAGGGAUCACACAAUUUGGCGAGAGGCAGAUUUAUCGGGUGGGGGAGGUAGGGGGGGGGCCAGGCUUCCACUGAAAGUCAGCCACCUGUUAA